rnacentral:rRNA from 1 species
AAGAUGACUCUCGGCAACGGAUAUCUAGGCUCUCGCAUCGAUGAAGAACGUAGCAAACUGCGACGCUUGGUGUGAAUUGCAGAAUCCCGUGAACCAUCGAGUCUUUGAACGCAAGUUGCGCCCGAAGCCGUUGGGCCGAGGGCAUGUCUGCCCGGGCGUCACGUCACGC